AACGAACGCUGGUGGCAGGCUUAACACAUGCAAGUCGAACGGGCAUAGCAAUAUGUCAGUGGCAGACGGAUGAGUAACACGUGGGAACCUUCCUAGAGGUACGGAACAACGCAGGGAAACUUGUGCUAAUACCGUAUACGCUCGAGAGAGGAAAGAUUUAUCGCCUUUAGACGGGCCCGCGUAGGAUUAGGUAGUUGGUGAGGUAACGGCUCACCAAGCCUACGAUCCUUAGCUGAUCUGAGAGGAUGAUCAGCCACACUGGGACUGAGACACGGCCCAGACUCCUACGGGAGGGAGCAGUGGGGAAUCUUGGACAAUGGGCGCAAGCCUGAUCCAGCCAUGCCGCGUGAGUGAAGAAGGCCUUCGGGUUGUAAAGCUCUUUUACCAGGGACGAUAAUGACGGUACCUGGAGAAUAAGCCCCGGCUAACUUCGUGCCAGCCGCCGCAGUAA
rnacentral:rRNA from 1 species